rnacentral:tRNA from 1 species
GGACGGGUGGCUGAGCGGUCGAAAGCAGCCGCCUCGAAAGCGGCCGAACCUGCAAGGGUUCCGAGAGUUCGAAUCUCUCCCCGUCCGCCA